GCUCCGGUGGCCUAGUGGUUAUAGAGCGUCCGCCUGAGGUGCGGGAGGUCGCGGGUUCUGACCCUGGCCAAGUCAUACCCAAGACG